GAUGAACGCUGGCGGCGUGCCUAACACAUGCAAGUCGAGCGAUCUUCUUCGGAAGAGAGCGGCGGACGGGUGAGUAACGCGUGGGUAACCUGCCCUGUACACACGGAUAACAUACCGAAAGGUAUGCUAAUACGGGAUAAUAUGCUUUUAUCGCAUGGUAGAAGUAUCAAAGCUCCGGCGGUACAGGAUGGACCCGCGUCUGAUUAGCUAGUUGGUAAGGUAACGGCUUACCAAGGCGACGAUCAGUAGCCGACCUGAGAGGGUGAUCGGCCACAUUGGAACUGAGACACGGUCCAAACUCCUACGGGAGGCAGCAGUGGGGAAUAUUGCACAAUGGGCGAAAGCCUGAUGCAGCAACGCCGCGUGAGCGAUGAGGGCCUUCGGGUCGUAAAGCUCUGUCCUCAAGGAAGAUAAUGACGGUACUUGAGGAGGAAGCCCCGGCUAACUACGUGCCAGCCGCCGCCGUAA
rnacentral:rRNA from 1 species